UGGCGGCAGGCUUAACACAUGCAAGUCGAGCGGUAACAGAGAGUAGUUUACUAUUCUGCUGACGAGCGGCNGACGGGUGAGUAAUGCCUAGGAAUCUGCCUAGUAGUGGGGGAUAACUUGCCGAAAGGUAAGCUAAUACCGCAUACGUCCUACGGGAGAAAGGAGGGGACUCUUCGGAGCCUUUCGCUAUUAGAUGAGCCUAGGUCGGAUUAGUUAGUUGGUGAGGUAAUGGCUCACCAAGACCGCGAUCCGUAGCUGGUCUGAGAGGAUGAUCAGUCACACUGGGACUGAGACACGGUCCAGACUCCUACGGGAGGCAGCAGUGGGGAAUAUUGGACAAUGGGGGAAACCCUGAUCCAGCCAUGCCGCGUGUGUGAAGAAGGUCUUAGGAUUGUAAAGCACUUUAAGUUGGGAGGAAGGGCAGUUAACUAAUAUUUGACUGUUUUGACGUUACCGACAGAAUAAGCACCGGCUAACUUCGUGCCAGCAGCCGCGGUAAUACGAAGNGNGCAAGCGUUAAUCGGAAUUACUGGGCGUAAAGCGNGNGUAGGUGGUUCGUUAAGUUAGGAGUGAAANNCCCGGGCUNAACCUGGGAAUUGCUUCUAAAACUGGCGAGNUAGAGNAUGGUAGAGGGUGGUGGAAUUUCCUGUGUAGCGNNGAAAUGCGUAGAUAUAGGAAGGAACAUCAGUGGCGAAGGCGACCACCUGGACUAAUACCGACACUGAGGUGCGAGAGCGUGGGGAGCAAACAGGAUUAGAUACCCUGGUAGUCCANGCNGUAAACGAUGUCAACUAGUUGUUGGGUUCCUUGAGGACUUAGUAACGCAGCUAACGCAUUAAGUUGACNGCCUGGGGAGU
rnacentral:rRNA from 1 species